UAGGCGCUAUUGACACAGAGGGGCCAGGAAGUCCCACCCCUAUCUAGGAGCCACUGCCAACAGAUAUUCUAUCUCCCUCCCCUCCGUGAAAGAAUGCCUCCAUAGAGCUUCUUCUGUUUGUCCCUUACACGUCUGCAGAGCAACAUAUGAUAUAAAGACACAGUACGUCCCUGAUCUCAAGGAAAUCCAUGGUACCGAGACAAGCCUGGUGGGCAAACCUGAGAUAAAUGUUAGCAUUGCUUUAGACUGACCUCAUCCUGGAAUUCUUUUAUGCAUUGAGGCUAAAAUCCAGUUUUACCCUGGUGGCGGUACCUGAAAGACUGAGGAACUUCAUCAGGCUGCUGGGAGAGACAGCAGGGGAUAGUGCCACCACAUCUGCCACCACGAUGAUGCCACCACAGAUGCCCUUUGCGCCAUCCUCAUCCACGCCGUGCUCUCCUCCACAGCUCGCCUUCACAAGCUCUACACUAGCCAGGGCUAGUCCAAACACGACUGAACAGGAACUCUCUCAAUGACUCUGUGGGAAGAAUCAGAAUGCACAAUUCUGUCUUCAGCAGCAGACGUGCCUACGUCUUGGAGUUUGUGAGACAACACCGUCAUCUACAUAGCUCGCCCUGGAGAGCUUCAGAGACAAGUUAUAAAAAAUAAAUCACAAAAGAACUCUCA